UUUAANUAGAUAAAAUGAAAUCCAUCGUAGUUUUUGGAGCGAUUUUCAUGGUAUUAUUCCUCUUAAAAACUUCAGAAGCUUCAGAAGCAGAAAACAAUGAGGAACUUGAUGAAUAUGUCAACCAUGAGAAAAGAUUUUGGCCUAUCGUAGCCCGAUGGGCUGCAGGACAAGCUGCAAAAGCUGGAUUUAACAAGUGGAAGAAGCAUCGUAGCCAUCACAAAGGAUGAGAUCAAUUUGUAAGCGUGUCUUAUGGAUAUUGAAAAAUGGAAUGAAUACUGGAUUUAAUGGUUUAUUAUUAAGAAGAUUUAAUGUAAUUAGUAUCGUAAGCCAUUUUAUAUUAUUAAAUUUUUUUUGUUGUAAAUUUUAAUGCAGUUAUAAAAUGAUUAUUUUAUUGUCUACGUAUUUUGUUAACUACGAUAAGAGAAAAUAUAUGAAUAAACACACUGUUCAAUUUGUAACGCUGUUAUAAAAUUAAUUUAAGUGUUGAUAUUAAAAUAAAAUAGUUGAUAUUAAAAAA